AGUAGUUGAUCAUGGCUCAGAGCGAACGCUGGCGGCAGGCUUAACACAUGCAAGUCGAACGGGCGUAGCAAUACGUCAGUGGCAGACGGGUGAGUAACACGUGGGAACGUACCUUUUGGUUCGGAACAACUGAGGGAAACUUCAGCUAAUACCGGAUAAGCCCUUACGGGGAAAGAUUUAUCGCCGAAAGAUCGGCCCGCGUCUGAUUAGCUAGUUGGUGGGGUAAGAGCCCACCAAGGCGACGAUCAGUAGCUGGUCUGAGAGGAUGAUCAGCCACAUUGGGACUGAGACACGGCCCAAACUCCUACGGGAGGCAGCAGUGGGGAAUAUUGGACAAUGGGCGAAAGCCUGAUCCAGCCAUGCCGCGUGAGUGAUGAAGGCCCUAGGGUUGUAAAGCUCUUUUAACGGGGAAGAUAAUGACGGUACCCGUAGAAUAAGCCCCGGCUAACUUCGUG
rnacentral:rRNA from 1 species